UAUACAUUAAAUACUGAAGUCAAGUCAUCGUCUAUAUUAUUUUCAGCUAAAUGUUGUUUCCCUCUUUAACUCUUUCAAUGGAGUCUAUUUUUGUCGUUUCCCCAUUUGCAAUCGUGAAUGCUACCCCUUUAUUUCUUUUCCUUAAAUUUAUUUGUUUUUGCUGUUACCUCGUCUGAAAUCUUAGUUGCUGGCCAUGCCUUUUCUAUUCAGCUGAGAUGUGAUAGAUUUUGCUCUAACCUUUUGUUUUAACUCUGUGUGAAAUGUGAUAUAUUAUUGGAUUUUGCGUCCUACCCUAGUUGUCUCCUAGAGUCAUUAAUUUCCAUUUGGUGCAUUUUAAUUUUGGAGAGUUUGUUACUAAGGUUGGGUCUUGUACCUCUUCUCUUAAGAUGUUGAUCCUUUUAACAGUUCCCUCUUCCCUGGCGCGCCUUUCGUUUAUAAUGACGUUAAUUCUUCAAGGGUGUGCGUGGCCAGGCUCUCCUUCCGCUUUGUUGCUACCUCCUACCACCCCUCCCCCCACCGAGGAGGCAGGGAACGGCACCUGUAGAAGCAUGUUUCGAUGCUCAGACAAAGCCUUUUGGCGUUGUUCUGCGCUGUCCGUGUCAGUUGACCGCGGCGUGCGUCCCUCUCUGUCGGGAGGUGAUGAGCGCGUUUCGUGCUGAGGCUGCUGGAAUCCUGCUUGGUCGCUGUGUUGAUCGGAGUUCCUGAACCUUUCGGACGUGAAUGACCCCUGGCACUUCAGUGACUCUGGAGGAGAAAGCGAGGCUGAUGGCUUUGUGCAGCUCUGCCUCACUUCCAUCCAGUUCACACACAAGUGAAGA